AGAAUCAACGCUGGCGGCGUGCCUAACACAUGCAAGUCGCACGAGAAAGGGGCUUCGGCUCUGAGUAAAGUGGCGCACGGGUGAGUAACACGUGACUAAUCUACCCUCGAGUGGGGAAUAACCUAGAGAAAUCUGGGCUAAUACCGCAUAACACUUACGAGUCAAAGCAGCAAUGCGCUUGGAGAGGAGUUCGCGGCCGAUUAGUUAGUUGGCGGGGUAAUGGCCCACCAAGACGAUGAUCGGUA
rnacentral:rRNA from 1 species